CGGUGAAUACGUUCCCGGACCUUGCACACACCGCCCGUCAAGCCAUGGAAGCUGGGUAUACCUAAAGUCGGUAACCGUAAGGAGCCGCCUAGGGUAAAACUAGUGACUGGGGCU
rnacentral:rRNA from 1 species